AUUGAACGCUGCGGCAGGCCUAACACAUGCAAGUCGAACGGUAACAGAAGCAGCUUGCUUGCUUCGCUGACGAGUGCGGACGGGUGAGUAAUGUCUGGGAAACUGCCUGAUGGAGGGGGAUAACUACUGGAAACGGUAGCUAAUACCGCAUAACGUCGCAAGACCAAAGAGGGGGACCUUCGGGUCUCUUGCCAUCGGAUGUGCCCAGAUGGGAUUAGCUAGUAGGUGGGGUAACGGCUCACCUAGGCGACGAUCCCUAGCUGGUCUGAGAGGAUGACCAGCCACACUGGAACUGAGACACGGUCCAGACUCCUACGGGAGGCAGCAGUGGGGAAUAUUGCACAAUGGGCGCAAGCCUGAUGCAGCCAUGCCGCGUGUAUGAAGAAGGCCUUCGGGUUGUAAAGUACUUUCAGCGGGGAGGAAGGCGAUAAGGUUAAUAAC
rnacentral:rRNA from 1 species